AUCAAAGCUUAAGCCUUUACAUUACCAAAGUAAGGGUCUCCCAACACAAUGGGCCCAAUCCAGGAACCAAGAGGUCUAAAACAAGUAGAUGCACAGGGGGACCAAGAGAGACAUUUGGUGAUAACCGAGCAGUUCCCAGCCAUCCCUUUUGUGUUCAGACCCCUGGCAACUCAGGCAAGAUUUCCAGCAGAGGCCAGCUCUGCAACAUCUCUCAACCUUAAAAGUGCAUUAAACAGGAACAAGAAUAAGAUGGAGAUUUGAAAUGAAAUACCCAGAAGAGAAUAUGAGCAACCACUUAUCAGCAACCUUGGUGAUGCUUUUAAUGAAUCAACAUCAAAAUAGUGCACUGUAGGAGGCUAGCUGGCUGAAAUCCAAGGUCCAAAGCACACAUAAUAGAGCUAAGUUCUGACAAUGAAAUACACUGUGGGGGAAUACAGAGGAAGCUGAAGAAGCAGAUUUGUUCACUGCAAACUCCCUGGGAAUCUGGACAUGUAGCCAGUAUGGAGAUGCAGAAGGAAAAAAGAAUUUUUGCUGAGAAAACCAUAUCUGGAUCAAGACACCAGCAUCAGGCUGGAUUGGGAGGUGCUACACCUACUCUAAAGUAAAAACCAAAAAAGAAGAAGA